UAGGGAAUCUUCCACAAUGGGCGAAAGCCUGAUGGAGCAACGCCGCGUGUGUGAUGAAGGGUUUCGGCUCGUAAACACUGUUGUAAGAGAAGAAUGACAUUGAGAGUAACUGUUCAAUGUGUGACGGUAUCUCACCAGAAAGGAACGGCUAAAUACGUGCCAG
rnacentral:rRNA from 1 species